UACGUAGGGGGCAAGCGUUGUCCGGAUUUAUUGGGCGUAAAGAGCGUGUAGGCGGCUGGGUAGGUCCGUUGUGAAAACUCGAGGCUCAACCUCGAGACGCCGAUGGAAACCCUCCAGCUAGAGUCCGGAAGAGGAGAGUGGAAUUCCUGGUGUAGCGGUGGAAUGCGCAGAUAUCAGGAGGAACACCAACGGCGAAGGCAGCUCGCUGGGACGGUACUGACGCUGAGGCGCGAAAGCGUGGGGAGCGAACAGG
rnacentral:rRNA from 1 species